AUGUAUUCCACUUGGCUCUGUCUACGGGAUUGUAUCACAUGGCCUCCGUGUUGCCUCCUUAUUGAAAGACAUUUCCAGCCUGUGCAAGCUGCAAUCGUUGGGAGAAUUUCCUGCCUGGGAGUCUGGAAACUGCCAAGAGUGAAAAGCCGCAGCCAGCCAGUGAGGCCUCUGUUGUCGUUGGCCCAAACAACAACAAAAACAGCCACAACCACCACCACCACCACAACAAAACACGCCACGUGUGCACAAGCACACACAAACACGCCCACAGAACCAACCAAACGGACAAGGCUUCAAGGAGAAGCUUCUGGGCUGCACGUUUGGGCAGCAAGGCCUAUCCGUUGGCACCAGGCCACGGCAGCCCAGUUCCCAGCCCCCCACCAUCUGUCAUCAGCACUCUGCCUACUGUAAGUGUGCCGACACAGUCCAGGGAGGCCAACCAGUAGCAAAUGGAGGGGAGGAACAAACAAAGCCACCACAGUCAGCAGGAGAAGGUGGCUACGGCUUUGACACAAACUGACAAAAAGCCGGGAAAUUUAAACUGAAAAGUUUGCCCUGAAGAUCUUCAGCUGUGAGGGCUGGACUUUGGGAGGGGCGGGGAGUGUGACCAGAGGGGGACUGGCAGUCUGCAGUGGCUGGUGCUCUCCAGCUAACCAGGCCGGCCCUUCCCAGCCCCUGUGAACAGGAGACGUGAUGGAGAAUCCGUUCCCACUGUUUGUGGAUUGCCCAAUUAGGCUUUCUCUUACAAGAAAAAGGGAAUUCAAAAAAAAAAAAAAAAAAGCAAAACCUUUUUUCUAAUAAAGUUUCUGAAGGAAACGUUUAAUCA
rnacentral:lncRNA from 12 species